AACCCAUGUCAACUACUCCCUGUCAAAUGACUCAAGCCAGCUGAUUUGAGGCCCCUCUCCUGAUUGGCUCCUUCCACGUCGCGGCAACUAUGAAUACGGCCGUGGAGGGAUACUUCCGGGUUCGACUCCUGCUGUGGCUGUAUGCUUAUGGCGUUAAGAACAGUGUUGGAAAACAAAGCGUUUUCUCCCCUAAAUUCGUCUAUAAAAUUGUAUCACCUCAGCGGUCAGGUUUUUUUUCCCUUUAAAUUGAUCAUCUUCAUAUUGAAGUGGCGAACCGGUAGGACCAUUCUUUGUUUUUUUUCCCCCGCUUUGCCGUCUAUGGAUUACGGACAUAUUUGUUCCCCAUUGUAUGAAACUGGACCCUAAGGAGGAAUACCUUAAAAAGUGAACUUUAAAAAGAAAAGGACUCUUAACAAAAGGACUGUUGCACAGGAAAUCACAGCAAUUGAUUUAUUUGUUACACAAUUAUUUGAUUGUGGGCAUUUAUUUAUGUUGUGUGUCGUAUUGAUUAUUUUGGUCCAUUUCCCCUUUUCCCCAUUUAUUCAAUAUAUUUUUGGUACAAGA